rnacentral:rRNA from 2 species
GGGGGGACGGAGAAGGCUAUGUUAGCCGGGCGACGGUUGUCCCGGUUUAAGCAUGUAGGCGGAGAUUCCAGGUAAAUCCGGAGUCUUGUUAACGCUGAGGUGUGAUGACGAGGCACUACGGUGCUGAAGUAACAAAUGCCCUGCUUCCAGGAAAAGCCUCUAAGCAUCAGGUAACACAAAAUCGUACCCCAAACCGACACAGGUGGUCAGGUAGAGAAUACCAAGGCGCUUGAGAGAACUCGGGUGAAGGAACUAGGCAAAAUGGUGCCGUAACUUCGGGAGAAGGCACGCUGAUAUGUAGGUGAAGUGAUUUACUCAUGGAGCUGAAAUCAGUCGAAGAUACCAGCUGGCUGCAACUGUUUAUUAAAAACACAGCACUGUGCAAACACGAAAGUGGACGUAUACGGUGUGACGCCUGCCCGGUGCCGGAAGGUUAAUUGAUGGGGUUAUCCGUAAGGAGAAGCUCUUGAUCGAAGCCCCGGUAAACGGCGGCCGUAACUAUAACGGUCCUAAGGUAGCGAAAUUCCUUGUCGGGUAAGUUCCGACCUGCACGAAUGGCGUAAUGAUGGCCAGGCUGUCUCCACCCGAGACUCAGUGAAAUUGAACUCGCUGUGAAGAUGCAGUGUACCCGCGGCAAGACGGAAAGACCCCGUGAACCUUUACUAUAGCUUGACACUGAACACUGGUCCUUGAUGUGUAGGAUAGGUGGGAGGCUUUGAAGUGUGGACGCCAGUCUGCAUGGAGCCAACCUUGAAAUACCACCCUUUAAUGGCUGGUGUUCUAACGUAGACCCGUAAUCCGGGUUGCGGACAGUGUCUGGUGGGUAGUUUGACUGGGGCGGUCUCCUCCUAAAGAGUAACGGAGGAGCACGAAGGUUAGCUAAUCCUGGUCGGACAUCAGGAGGUUAGUGCAAAGGCAUAAGCUAGCUUGACUGCGAGAGUGACGGCUCGAGCAGGUGCGAAAGCAGGUCUUAGUGAUCCGGUGGUUCUGAAUGGAAGGGCCAUCGCUCAACGGAUAAAAGGUACUCCGGGGAUAACAGGCUGAUACCGCCCAAGAGUUCAUAUCGACGGCGGUGUUUGGCACCUCGAUGUCGGCUCAUCACAUCCUGGGGCUGAAGUAGGUCCCAAGGGUAUGGCUGUUCGCCAUUUAAAGUGGUACGCGAGCUGGGUUUAGAACGUCGUGAGACAGUUCGGUCCCUAUCUGCCGUGGGCGCUGGAGAAUUGAGGGGGGCUGCUCCUAGUACGAGAGGACCGGAGUGGACGCAUCACUGGUGUUCGGGUUGUCAUGCCAAUGGCAUUGCCCGGUAGCUAAAUGCGGAAGAGAUAAGUGCUGAAAGCAUCUAAGCACGAAACUUGCCCCGAGAUGAGUUCUCCCUGACCCUUUAAGGGUCCUGAAGGAACGUUGAAGACGACGACGUUGAUAGGUCGGGUGUGUAAGCGUAGCGAUACGUUGAGCUAACCGAUACUAAUGAACCGUGAGGCUUAACCUU